rnacentral:rRNA from 1 species
AACGAACGCUGGCGGCAGGCUUAACACAUGCAAGUCGAGCGCCUCGCAAGAGGAGCGGCAGACGGGUGAGUAACGCGUGGGAAUCUACCCGUCUCUACGGAAUAACUCAGGGAAACUUGUGCUAAUACCGUAUACGCCCUUUGGGGGAAAGAUUUAUCGGAGAUGGAUGAGCCCGCGUUGGAUUAGCUAGUUGGUGGGGUAAAGGCCUACCAAGGCGACGAUCCAUAGCUGGUCUGAGAGGAUGAUCAGCCACAUUGGGACUGAGACACGGCCCAAACUCCUACGGGAGGCAGCAGUGGGGAAUAUUGGACAAUGGGCGCAAGCCUGAUCCAGCCAUGCCGCGUGAGUGAUGAAGGCCCUAGGGUUGUAAAGCUCUUUCACCGGAGAAGAUAAUGACGGUAGUCGGAGAAGAAGCCCCGGCUAACUUCGUGCCAGCAGCCGCCGUAA